rnacentral:rRNA from 1 species
CAUGCAAGUCGAGCGAGGUCCAUCCAGUGGUAACACUGGUGAAGACCUAGCGGCGAACGGGUGAGUAACACGUGAGAAACCUGCCCCGAAGACUGGGAUAACUCUCCGAAAGGAGAGCUAAUACCAGAUGCCCUCACCGGGCCGCAUGACUUGGUGAGGAAAUGGAUUCCGCUUCGGGAGGGUCUCGCGGCCUAUCAGCUUGUUGGUGAGGUAACGGCUCACCAAGGCUUCGACGGGUAGCUGGUCUGAGAGGAUGAUCAGCCACACUGGGACUGAGACACGGCCCAGACUCCUACGGGAGGCAGCAGUGGGGAAUCUUGCGCAAUGGGCGAAAGCCUGACGCAGCAACGCCGCGUGGGGGAUGAAGGCUCUCGGGUUGUAAACCCCUUUCAGCAGGGAAGAUUAUGACGGUACCUGCAGAAGAAGCCCCGGCCAACUACGUGCCAGCAGCCGCGGUAAUACGUAGGGGGCAAGCGUUGUCCGGAUUUAUUGGGCGUAAAGAGCUUGUAGGCGGCUUGGUAAGUCGAGUGUGAAAACUCCAGGCUCAACCUGGAGACGCCAUUCGAUACUGCCAUGGCUAGAGUCCGGUAGAGGAGCACGGAAUUCCUGGUGUAGCGGUGAAAUGCGCAGAUAUCAGGAGGAACACCAGCAGCGAAGGCGGUGCUCUGGGCCGGUACUGACGCUGAGAAGCGAAAGCGUGGGGAGCGAACAGGAUUAGAUACCCUGGUAGUCCACGCCGUAAACGUUGGGCACUAGGUGUGGGUCCCUAUCGACGGGAUCUGUGCCGUAGCUAACGCAUUAAGUGCCCCGCCU